rnacentral:rRNA from 1 species
CCUGGAGACUCCUACGGGAAGCAGCAGUAGGGAAUCUUCGGCAAUGGGGGCAACCCUGACCGAGCAACGCCGCGUGAGUGAAGAAGGUUUUCGGAUCGUAAAGCUCUGUUGUAAGUCAAGAACGAGUGUGAGAGUGGAAAGUUCACACUGUGACGGUAGCUUACCAGAAAGGGACGGCUAACUACGUGUCAGCAGCCGCGGUAAUACGUAGGUCCCGAGCGUUGUCCGGAUUUAUUGGGCGUAAAGCGAGCGCAGGCGGUUAGAUAAGUCUGAAGUUAAAGGCUGUGGCUUAACCAUAGUACGCUUUGGAAACUGUUUAACUUGAGUGCAAGAGGGGAGAGUGGAAUUCCAUGUGUAGCGGUGAAAUGCGUAGAUAUAUGGAGGAACACCGGUGGCGAAAGCGGCUCUCUGGCUUGUAACUGACGCUGAGGCUCGAAAGCGUGGGGAGCAAACAGGAUUAGAAACCCCUGUAGUCCUAG